rnacentral:lncRNA from 10 species
CUGAACUCCAGUUUGGGAGAGGUACCUGGCAGCACAGAUCUAUGUGAGAUCCCUCCUAUUGCAAUUUAAUAUGGAAAUGUAGGGAGGGAGGGGAAGGAUCAGAGUCAGGGAAACCAGGAAUGGGUGUAUUGCAAGAGUUCGGGUAAGAGACAGUGAGGUCCUUAGCUGGGAUACUGGCUUUGAGAUGAAGAAGACGUGGAAGAUUUGAGAGCUAUUUAGGAGGGAUGGAGUGGGGUGGGAAGAGAGAAAGAAAACAGGAUGUCCUAGUUAUUAAUGCUUUACAGGUGGGAUGAUGGGCAGAACAUGGAAAGAUGGUGUGAGAAGGGGAGAGUCCCACAGGCUGAUGGUGGCAUUCCUGCUCCUGCUCUGAGCUCACCCAGCCCUGUGGCACUCCAACUUCUACUAACUGGUGGGGUCACACUCCCAGUAUUUUCCAGAGAGAAGUACUGAGAAGCUUAAAGUAUUUGAAUGGGAGGAGGAGAAGCAAACUACAGCUACUUCAGAGGAUAACACUAAACACCUAGUCCACUCUGUAUACACUAGAGGUGCUGUUAAUUUUCUUGUGGAGAAGGAACUGUCUUUAGAAAAAUAUCUCAAAAAGCCACUGAAGUAGAAAGUUUCAGCAUGCUGAAGAUGGAACUUGAGAAGAUAGAAAGUUCUGGGUCCUUAGUGGCAUGACUGAGUCGCUGGACCACUGUUGGAACCACCCUAUGUCUUAGUUUUUAAAUCUCUUUACUGUCUAAGACAUUUUUAGUGGAAGUAUUUAUCUCUGGCAUCCAAUAAGACCUUUAAGGAUUUGCAGUUUUAUCUAUGUGUUUGUUUAUUGUCUGCUCCACCCUACUUGAUUGUGAUCACCAUGACAUCAAUGACUGUGCAUCUUUUGUUCACUCAGGAAUAUCCAGUGCCUGCCACGCAGAGUGUGCUGCAUGUACAUGCUCACUUGAUAUCUGUUGUAGCAAAGAGUGAAAGAGAGAAGGAAUAAAUGCUUUCUCCCAUGAUGAGGGGACAUGGGGUCCAGACAAGCUGGACCAUUAUCCCAGGCCCAGCGCUCUGCUUUAUUUUUUUUUUUCCAGUACAGCAUCACAUUCAGUUACAACAGAGUGAAAUCUCCUAAGAACACGGCUGAUUAUUUCUUGAUUGCAAAAAGGACUCACUAACCCUCCGAUCUCCUGUAACGCAAGUCAAUGCUCUUCUAAUCUCCUUUUAGACAGCACCUGUACUUGUCAGUCAACGCAUGGUAGUCUGGGCUAGCCAAGUGAAUCCUUAACUAAACUGAAGUGGUGCUGAUCAUUCAGCCUUCAGAAUUGAAAAAAUCACAGCAUUGCUGAAGGAAAAGGCAUUUUUCAGGUAGAGAGGCAUAAGUCUUGGGCCAGGAAGCUUCAGUAAGAAGACAAUAAUUUCAUAGAAAUGCAUUAGCUUGGGGAGUCCAACUGCUGUUCUUGCACCUAAGAAAUUCAGAGGAGAGCUCUUUGCUUCCUUGCUCAUUCCAGUGGUUAGGAGUCAGGCCUUGUCCCAGAAUGUUCAGGUUGAUGCUUACCAUUUAAGCCUUAAGUUAAUCCGUUGAAGCUCCAGGCCUUUUAUGGGAUUCACAAGAAUAAACAGCAUUUAACUAUAGAUUCUCAAAGGUCAAAUCUUCAACCUAAAUCUGAGGAUUCAAAGCAUUGUUCACUCUAAUAAUUCUGCUAGUUCCCAACUUCACACAAACCAUUUAUUUCAGAAUGUAAACCUUGAAUAAUCUUUUCUUACUUGUAGUUUUGUGGUCAUUUAGAAAACAGCAAUACUCUAUUUUAAUUGGAACUAAGUGACAAAAAUAAGCCACUUCAUUAGUUUUCUAGAUAACGGUAAAAUGUAAGAACAAAAAGCCACUUCUUUUUCCACGUGGUAUUUUACAGUGACUUUUUUUUUUCUUUUUACUGCAUUUUAAAAUUCUACUGGAGGCAUUUCUCGGAAACUUUCUCUUACUUGUUAAUGAAUCAUCCCCUUUGAGAAUCAGCAGGUGAUUUCAGGAGCCCAGGUGUGAAUAAUUGAUUUAAGGUCGACCUUGUGGGUGGAGCCAAUGUUUACCAAGUGCAUUCAUUCGACAAACAAUUGAUGAACACCAAAUUAGAGUUCAAUUCCAGAUAACAAAAACCAGUUGAACUAAUUUCAUCAGAAAGCUACUUAAUAGGGGUAAUUAGGUGCUUACAAAAUAGAAGGGCUGGAAGCCCAGGAUCUAGGCUGACACCCAUGUAGCUAGACCCUGGAAACUGGGAUUCCAGCUGCACAGAACAGCCAAGUGUGUUCAUGACUGUGCUUGUUUGUCAGCAGGAGCAUGGCCCUGCCUUGUGAUACUGUGUUUUUCAGCUCUCACGUGGCUGAGUCUGUUUGGAGAAGUUGGUUCAAGAUGCAGCUUGACUCUCAGGGAGUCUGAAUAACUACCCUUAAUAUUGUUAGCUUUCUGGUCUCCAGCACACAGUAUGAUUUUCUGGAAGAAGGAUUUAAUGUAGUUAAAUAUGCCAACGUGUAAUAUCUGAUGUACAUUUCUACCCUGCUUGGGAUACAAAAUAAAUAAAAGCCAGUUUCUGUCUGUAAGGAGUGUACAGUUUAGUAAGAAGACAGACUCCUGAACAAAGAUGUAUACUUCAAUGUUGCCAGCCCAGGAUUAGAGAUGGGUAUUAAGAGGACCUCUGAUGAGUGAUAUUUUGCAUCUGGUGCAGGACAGUUCCCUAGGUGGCCUUGGACCAAACCAGUCCUCCCGCUUUCUCACUUGUAGUUUUAAGAAUAACUAGAAUGUGCUGGGAAUGCAACAUCCCGAGAUAAGGCCUAGGCUCUGUUCCAGUCCCCGCUAGAAACAGGAUGUCCUUCAGCACAUUAAUCCAGCAGGUCAUGUUAUCCCUGGAGUAGAAAACCCAGAGACGGCUACUUUCCAGGGUCCUGCAUCUGGGGUGCAAGUGAGGCACACGCAGAUGAGACUCCACCUGCCCUGGGCAGCUUUCCUGAGCCUUGAGAAACCAGCUCACCAUGAAUCCAAGGUGUCUGCUGUUCCUUGCCACCAUUUCAUGGAACCUGUUGUAUGUACCUAUUCAUGUUUUCCAUGUUUCAAAUAUGACUGAACCUGACAUAUAUAAGAACGCAAAAGAUUCUUCAAAAUCAAACUGUGUCCGGAAUUGGUGGGUUCUUGGUCUCACUGACUUCAAGAAUGAAGCCACGGACCCUGGCGGUGAGUGUUACAGCUCUUAAGGUGGCGUUUCUGGAGUCUGUCCCUUCUGAUGUUCAGAUGUGUUCGGAGUUUCUUCCUUCUGGUGGGUUCGUGGUCUCGCUGGCUCAGGAGUGAAGCUGCAGAUCUUCACGGUUGCUAGUAACACAAUAAUAAAGCUGCUUUAUUUUCCAGUGAAGAUGUAUGUGAUAGGGAGUGGAGGAAGAAAAAGGCCAGAAAAUUCCAUAGUUAGCAAAUAUACCUUUCUUACUUAAAAUUCUUUUUCCAAUGUGAGCCUUCUAAAGAGUUACUGAGAAAUUAGGUGAGCUCACCUCAUUUAAUGCAAUAGAUAUGUUUCUGAAAAAUAAGCAAUACAUAGGACAUUGGCCAAUUAAGAAUUCUGAUGAAGAAGAAUUUUCACAUCCGAAAGAGUAAAAAUGAAAAACGGUACAAAUGUAGUGGCUUUUAAAUUUCAAAACAAAUUAUUUUGAUAAGAUAAAUAUUCCUCUCAUAAAGUGAAAAUGGAAGAGACUGCUUGCUGGGUGUUCGUCAAAAUGGAGUUAGAUGGUCUGUCCCAGACUCCCCUGUUGUUAGUUCUGAGAACAGAAGUAAUGGUGCUUCUUCAGGACUGGCUCAUAGAAACCUGCCGUGUUCAGCCCCCACAAUCCUCUCCCUUCUGCUGGCUGGAAACAAAUGACAACGAAGCCUCACGUCUUGGAGAAACCACACUGCUGAGGAACUCAAGUCCUAGAAGAACCAUUUGAAGAGACCCAUCUCACUAAAGAAAAUCACACAAGCAAGAAGUAAACUUCAUUGUAUCUAUGUAUUUAAUUGUCAUAACAGUCUACCUUAACUGAUACAGCAAAAAUUCGCUCCUUUUCUGGACACCCAGUUUCAAAAUCUCAGUGUCAUUUUUUACUUCUCUCUUUUCAGGUUGUUUAAUAUAAUAAAAUUUGUGUGUGUGUGUGUGUGUGUGUGACAAGGUCUUGCUCUGUUGCCCAGGCUGGAGUGCAAUGGCACGCUCCCAGCCCACUACAGCCUUGACCUCCAAGCUCAAGUGUUCCUCCCACCUCAGCCUCCAGAGUAACUGGGACUACAGGCAUGGGCCACCACACCCGGCUAAUUUUUGUACUUUUUGUAGAGACAGGGUUUCACCAUGUUGCCCAGGCUGGUCUUGAACCCCUGGGCUCAAGCGAUCUGCCCAUCUCCACCUCCCAAAAUUCUAGGAUUACAGGCGUGAGCCACUACACCCAACCAUUUUAUUUUUAAAAGUUUUCUUUGCAAUAUUGCUCACAUUGUUUCCUUCCUUUUUAUUCUUAUUGUCACUCCCAAGUUCAGGCUUUUACCUCUUUUAUUUGAAGUAUUAAAGUAUACUUCUAAGUCAUUUCUGUGGCUUAAAUUUAUUUAAUCCACUCCAUCCUGCAUCCUACCAACACAAUAACAUUGUUUCAUCAUUUCAAAUUGAAAUCGAAACUCUCCAAAGCUUUCCUACUGCUGAAUGGAUAAAAACACAAAAUCCUCAAUAGAGAAUUCACUUUCUGGAGCCAACUUACCUUUCCAAAUAUUUCCCAUUAUUCCCUAAGAGAAUCCUCCUGACAUACUCACUGUUUUUCAUAUACACUAGACCUUUUCUCAACCACCUAUUUGUCCACACAUUUUUCUUCCAGCUAGAAUAUUAUUUUCCCUUUCUCACUUCUGAAAGUCUUACCUGUCAUUCAUGGUUCAUCUCAAGCUCAAUCUUCUCCUUGAAACCUUUAAGCAUACCCUCCUGGAAAGUUAUCUCCCUCACCUCGAACCACCCCCCCAGCCCCUGCCAGAAUCUCCUAUAGGGCUGAUUGUUUAUCCUGCUUAUUAUAUAUUUAUAAAACACUCCACUGAGUUAUUAAUUACCUUUUCCUUGACUGUGAAAACAUGACUCUGGCUUCAAGGUAGGACCAUUUUUUCUCUAACACUGUGUCUCAUACACUUCAGCACAAGCUCUUAGUGGCCUGUGCAUUCAACUCCCAUGCAUAGCCACUUCCUCCAGGCAAACCCCACAGCCAGCAUCCAAAUUUUAAAAGGGGUUCUGUCAUCAACCCAAAGUUUCUUCUCUCUCAAGGAACCUAGAUUUAGAAGUUGAGUCUAGGCCACCUGUCUAAGAUACAGUAGUUAAUUUAACAUAUUUUAUUGCUCUCAACAUCACAGAGAAAGAGCCUUACUGCAGAUCUCAUUCUUUCCUUCAAAGCCAGUUUGCCCAUUCCUCUUCAGAAACCUUUAAGAGUGGUUAUUGGGAGAGAUGAUAAGACUCCAUCUGCUUAAGGAGUCCCUCUAACCCAGAAUAGUAGAUGUAAACACCUGACAUGUUGUUAUAGAGUGAAUGUUUGUGUUCCCCUCCAAUCCAUAUGUUGAAAUUCCAAGCCCCAAUGUGUUCGCAUUGGGAGGUGAGGCCUUUGGGAGGUAAAUAGAUCAUGAAGGUGAAGUCUUCAUGAAUGGAUUAGUGUCCUUAUAAAAGAGACCCCAGAGAGCUCUCUCAUCCUGUUUCUGCCAUGUGAGGACACAGCAAGAAGUUGGUCAUCUGCAACCUGAAGUGGCUCCUCCCCAGAAACUGAAUCUGCUGGGGUCUUAAUGGUGGGCUUCCCAGCCUCCAGAAUUAUGAGUGUAAAUGUUUGUUGUUUAAGCUACCCAGUCUAGGGUAGUUUGCUAUACUACCCCAAACUGACUAAGAUACAUAUGUUUGUCAUCCACUCAGUUGUUUUCCUAAAAUAAAUGAAGUCAGCUCCAAAGAUGAAUUUUCAUCUCUUUUUGUAGAGAUGGGUGCUAUUAUGCUUUUUAAUGAACGUUUAUUCACAAAUAAAAACAAAACAUACCUCUCACAUCCUCAGAGCAAAUACUUACAGUAACAUACAUUGAUGCUCACAAGCUCAUUACAUUUCAUGUUUACUAUUCAUUGAUAACAUUACAUUUAUUAUUAUCACAUAAACCAUACCUCCUGUUUAUGAAGCACUUAUGGUGUUUUAGUCAAUGUUAUGGUACCUGCUAUAUAUGGUCUCUAAUUUUAUUUUAACUUCCUAUAGUAAACAAUAUUAGGUGCUAACUCAAUAGUCAUUUUCUAACCUGAUUUUUCCUUGCAAACAGAACCCCAAAUUUGUUUGGAGAGAAAUGUGUCCAAAUCCAAACAAAGCAUCACCAUUUCUUUGAACCAUCAUAAGGAUCUAAUCAUUUUUUUUGUUUUCCUAGCCUCCCUCUAGCCAGAGAUACUGGGUAACACAGUUCUGGCUGAGAAGACAAGAGAAGAAAUCUGCUAAGCAUUUCUGGAAAAAGUUUUGAUUUGCUGAUGAAAGGGAACAGACAUACUGGUUGCCUUCCUUUUCCCUUUCAGCUGCCUAGUCGCCAUUUUGCAAUGUGAAACAACAUCAUUAAGGAAAGAUCAAAACAAUUGCAGAGAUGUCAACCAUCAUGCCUUUGAAUUCAUGCUCACAGUUGUCUGCCUCCAGAUUCAGUUAUAUUUGAGGUACUCUUUGAGUUAAGAUCCUUCUCAUUUUAUACCACUUGCAGCUGAACACACUCCCCACUAAUUUACCUUGUAAGGUGAAUUUCACUUAAAGGAAGAACACAUAAGUCAGGGAAUGACACAUAAUAGUAAAUGCAGGGUUUUUUUUUCUAUUUAUGAUAUAGAUUUAUACAACUGCUAUGUUCUUGACAUUGUACCAAUUUCAAGGUACAAAUAAGACAUAAUCCCUAAAAGCAUGGGUUACAAAAUCUGGGUUCAGCAUAGGGUUUCAUGAUAAACAAACAAACACAAAUUGUUUUUUAUUGUAUUUCCUUCUUCUUCACAUCUUGUGAAUCUAAGAAAAAUAUCAGAAUGUUCGUUUCAGCUCAAUUUUUGAAGAGUACAAUCUCUAAGUAAAAAGAAACUGUAAAUGUUUAUAAAUGUAACUAGAGCCUAGUAGAAAAUAAAGCCAUGCAAGUGUGUUUAGGUCCUAAUCUUAUUAACCAGAUUAGUGACACACAGUCUGCCCAAAGUUAAUGAAAGCAGUGAGGUUCUUUGACUUCAGUAGAUACACACCUGAACCACAGAGAUAAACUUGCUUCAAACCUGUGCGAUAUGUUUUUCUAAGCAUAAAAUUGAGCAUGAUAGCUCCAAUUUCAGUCUCAGUUUCAAAGCUUCCCUUUCCCGAAUAAGAGGCAAACUGUCACAUUAAAUUUAGCGAAUUAAAAUCAGUUAACUUGAAAAGCUCUUGGCCCCAAUGCAGAGAAAAUUGUUUGCAUAAUAAUAACUUAUUUCCUUUUUUAAAAGGCGGACUUCUGCCUGAAUGCUUCUAUAAACUUUUAAGAAAAUGGGAUUCUCAAAUCUCAAGCGUAUUGGGUUGCAGUUGGCACUUGAAGCUGGGGACAUGCAGAGCUGGCUAAUGUCAGCAGCUGUAGGACUGUCAAGAAAAAUAGGUGGAAGGGACACUUUUAUUAUAAGUAGACUUGCAAGGCAUUCCAACUUUCAGCUGCUCAACCCAGUAUACCAAACACCUCUGACUACCUCAAGUGUGGCCUUGCUGAGUGCUUCCAUAUUUAGGGGUUAUUAGACAGGACUGAAGCAAGUGACCUCUAAUGAGGAAGCAAUCAGGGCAGGCUCUGACCCUCCUCAGAGGUACUGUAAUGAACUGGCCUUGGAAGGUCUUUGAUGCUGCCUUUGCAUACUGUAUAUGAGCUUUCUGCUCAGUCAUUUCCUCUGCGCUCUGGUAGCACAGCAUGAAGCCUGCUAUUAGAAAAAAGGUUUAUUGCUACCUUGCAAACAUUUAUUGGGUAAUAUCUAAAACAUGGUGUCAAGUUAUAGUAAUGCGCUGUUCUGGGAAACUUUUUGAGAAUUUUAGUGUUUCAGAAGAUGGUCCUUUGAGAAUUCUUCUGUUUCAGAAAUGAAAAGUGGUAGAUAUAUACGUGUGUGUGUAUAAUAUGCUCAUGUAUCCUCUGAUUACUUGCCAGAGAUGUACCAUUUUUCUUUCAAGGGAAACAUCUAUUCCUAAGAUAGAUUAUUCUUGAAAUUUUCAAAGAGUAUGCCUCAGAGAACAAAUAUACAAAUUUACCAUUUGUCUGCAGAUAUUAUUUGCCUGUGUUUAUGCUAGGUCACUGACACCACACACAUUUUAAUCCCCAAGGGAAUUUAUUUGGUGGUGUUAUCUACUCAACCAAGCUGAAGCUUAUCUAGUUCACAAGAAAAUAGUCAAUAUGAGCUCCAUGCAGACUUAUGCUGUUAAUGCAGAAGAGGGAAAGAGAAUUUACCUUUAACUGUUAUGAUGAAAAUGUGUACAAUGACACUUAACUAUGGCAUGCAAAUCCUCUUUUCCUCCCCCACAGGUAUCUGGAAAGUACCUUAUACAGCUAGGUGCUUAGAAAAUGUUUAUUGAUUAAAUAGAUGAUGAUUAACAGAUUAAUAAAAGGUGAAAGUUACUAUCUAUGCAUUUUUUUCCAGUUUGAUGUUCAAAAACUUACCAAUGGAUGGGGAGUUGCUUUUCAUAAACAAUUUAUAAAGCACUGUCCUGGAUGAAAUUGUAAAAAGGACGUGGUGUCAAAGAUGACUCAGUGGAGUUGAGGUGAAAAAUGUGUAAUGAGCAAAUCAUGGUAAUUGGGAUAUCCAUCACCUCAAACCCUUAUCAUGUCUUUGUGUUGAGGACAUUUCAAAUCUUCCCUUCCAGCUAUUUUGAAAUAUACAACAAAUUAUUGUUAAGUGUAGCCACCCUAGUGUGCUACUGUACACUAGGACUUACUUAUUCCUUCUAUCUAACUGUAUUUUUGAACCCAUGAACCAACAUCUCUUUGAUUUCCAGCCUGGGCUUUGGUGUCCCUUUUUUUGUGUGUUUUCAUAGGGCCCUAUAUUUAUAUUAUUUGGGCUCAACACAUUGCAAAACUGCAGAGGAGUUUACUAUUAUGCACAUUAUUAUUCUAUAUUCUGUCACUCUAAGAAACAAUAAGUGACCAUCUGAAGAGACCAUCUUCUAGCACCAAAAUAUUUAAAGAUGAUUAAGAAUAAGACAAGGGUCUCCUUAUUUACAAAAUGACAUAAUUGAAAGGACUAGAUUAUUAGCAACCCCUCUGGAAAAGGAUUACUCUUUUGGAUUUUAAUUACAUAACUAAUAUAUCAACUGAAGUGCUAUGCCCUGACGUGUGCUCCCCUCAGCUUCACGAUCCAUAUGUUGAAACCCAACCCCUUAAUGUGAUGGCAUUUGGAGAUGGGGCUUUGGAGAUAUUAGUUAGGUUUAGAUAAGGUCAUGAGAAUGGGGCUCUUAUGAUGAGAUGAGCACCUUCAUAAAAAGAGACACGAGGUAUUUCUCUUUUCUCUCUUCUCUCUCUCCCUCUUUCCCUCCCUCCCUCUCUCCUCCUUCUCUGUCUUCCUCCUUUAUGUGAGGACAUAGCCAGAAGGCAGCUGUGUCUGCAAGCCAGGAAGAAAGCCCUCACCAGGAAUCAACUAUAUCAGCACCUUGAUCUUGAACUUCUAUCCUUAGAACAGAGAGAAAAUGAAUUUCUAUUCUUGAAGCCACCCAGCCUACGGUAUUUUGUUAUGGCAGUCAAGCUGAAUAAGAUAUAUAUCUACACUGAGACCAUUAAAAGUAGUUCCUGAUUGGCAGAAAGGUUGUAUAUAUAAAUGGCUCAUUGAAAGUUCUCACUGCAUGGAUGAGAAAUCUCAGAUUGAGGUUCUUAAAUUUUGAAAAAUAGAAAUAAAGGAAUUAACGCAACAGUCUUCUAAUCUUUCUGCCUUCAGUUUUUGCUCCCUUUGACUAUUCUCUGUACACUGCAUCCAGAGGUUAUAUUUUGACAGGGAAAUUCAAAUGAUGUAUAUUAUUUUUCUACUCAAAAUCUCCCCACUGGCACCCUAUUGUCCUAAAGCAUAAACUGCUAUUGCAGUCAAUUCACCUGAAAUAAGCUCUCUUCCUGCCGCGUCUUUUACAUAGAUUGUUUACUCCUCUUGUGAUCCCAGUUCCCUGCUUCUCCCUCUCCUCCACACUUUUCAAUAAUUAAAUUAUACUCAGCGUUCAGAAUUCAGUCAGGAUAUCCUACCUUCUUUGGUCAGCCCCCCAGGGUUUUCUGAAAGCUGGGAAGAGGCCCUCUUCUGCAAUCCCCAUGCACUGUAGACACAUCCCCUUUAGGUCCCUAUGUUGUGAGUGACUGUUUUCUUGUCUGUCUCUGCCACUAUAUUAUGCACUCUUAGAAGGCAAGGACUACUUCUCUUCAUUGUAUACCUAGAACUUAACCCAAAAACUGGCAUGUGCAUGCACCCAAGUUUUCACUGAGAAAAUAAUUGCAUGAGUCACUUGCUUUCCAGGUCUUUCUGACUACUAUGAUGGUGAUGACUUGUAGUCACAACAUGAAAUUGGUUUCUGCCCCUGAGGAUUGUAUCUCUCUACUUUGCAUGACCCCUAGAUUUCAAUCCCUCUUUAUUCUCUCCUGAUCCUUGGGUUCCAGUAAUUCUCUGGGUUUCAAAUAUAAGCACAGUGUGAGGAGCUCUUCAUUCUUGACAGAACUUUCAGGCAAGAAAGAAAUAGAUUCCUGGGAAUAUCUAUAUUCCCUCUGGCCCUAUUCCUUACUCCCAAAACAUAAUAACCCUUUUCUUAGGUUUUUUCUCUCUACCUUUUUACUUCUUCCUUAUUCUCACGAUUACAUGAAUUAACUGCCUACAGAGUAUGAAUUCAGACUGAAUUAAUAUGUAUUUAUGUGACAUAAAAGAUCUCUUUCAGUACUUCUUAAUCUUACCAAAUGAUGCAUACUAUACAAUAAAAAAUUGCAAUUUUUUCAUUAGCUUUUUUUUUUUUUUUUGGUUUCUGGUAGGGUUUUCCUUUAGUGGUAUUUUAGCAAGUAAUACAAUCCAGUUAUUUUUAAAAGUAUAUUAGUAGAAACUCACCAGAAGUCAAUAUACUGGUCCAAGAAUAAUUAACUGAUUGACUUUAUUGUUUAUGAAACUUUGUAAUGUUCCUUUUGAUGUGAAUGCUUAUCUUAGGGGGAAAUGCACUUUUCAAAUAUAAAUGAUCAUGUUUAAACAAACUGCUUCUAGUUUCAAAUAUGGCACUGAAAAACAAAAUAAAAUAAACACUCAAUUUUUAUUUAAAAUGGUGGGCAAUUUACUUUCUUUUUUGUUUGGGAUCUGAUUCAAGAGCCUCAAUUCAGCUUAUUGCAGAACUAACUAAACUAAACCUCAAAGGAAAAAUUUUAAAAAUGAUUUUUAUAGCAAUGACAUCAUUAUAUAAAAUGUUGGCAUUUCAUAUUUUCCAAACAGAAACUUGGAAAUAACAGAAUACAAGUUAAAUAAAACAAAUUGAAACUAAUCCAAUUCUCUGUUUUUCUUUCCCUUUUUAAAAACCAAGCUUUUUAUUGCCAGCUUUUACUUUGCAUAAUAAUAUAUGAUGAAUUGUCCAAGAAAGACCCAGUGGGUACAUUUCUCUUAGAAAUAAGCCUCUCUAUGCAAUAGGAGGCCAAGUUCUAGGGCAACAUACUUAUAUAAUCAUGUAAGAUUUUCCUUAUUGCUAACAAUUGACCAACCUGGGCAUUUGUCAAAUAUGUAAACACAUGGAGGUCACUGGUCACCAGAGGAUUGAAAACACAAAUCACUCUAUUCAUAUCCAUCCCUAGUUCUAGAAAAACAAUACCAAAUUAAAGCAUAUAUCCUACUAGCAAUAGGACUAGCAAAAUUAUUUUGGUAUACCAGAGCUACAUGUUAUACAUUUUGCUACUUAUGGAUUUAAUUACUCAGGAUAAUUAUACACAUGGCUACAACUGUAAACUUUAUAAUAUUUUGCUGGCAUACCUUCCAAAAGAGUUUGAAAAGCUAUGAAUUUAAUUCUAUAUUUGCAUUUGACAUAUAAAGUAC